rnacentral:rRNA from 1 species
ACGAACGCUGGCGGCGUGCUUCACACCUGCAAGUCGAACGGAAAGGCCCCCUUGUGGGGUACUCGAGUGGCGAACGGGUGAGUAACACGUGAGUAACCUACCCUUGACUUUGGGAUAACUUCAGGAAACUGGGGCUAAUACCGGAUAGGAGCUCCUGCUGCAUGGUGGGGGUUGGAAAGUUUUGGCGGUUGGGGAUGGACUCGCGGCUUAUCAGCUUGUUGGUGGGGUAGUGGCUCACCAAGGCUUUGACGGGUAGCCGGCCUGAGAGGGUGACCGGCCACAUUGGGACUGAGAUACGGCCCAGACUCCUACGGGAGGCAGCAGUGGGGAAUAUUGCACAAUGGGCGGAAGCCUGAUGCAGCAACGCCGCGUGCGGGAUGACGGCCUUCGGGUUGUAAACCGCUUUCGCCUGUGACGAAGCGUGAGUGACGGUAAUGGGUAAAGAAGCACCGGCUAACUACGUG